rnacentral:lncRNA from 1 species
GGUGUAAUGGUGAGUCAGAUGGAUUGGAUGUGUGAUAGAAACCAAAGGAAAAUUCUAGAGAUCCAGCUGGAGGGCAUGCAAGACCGAAGCAAAAGGAAAAUAGGAUAGAAGGUGGGUCGAUGUUUGACACAUGAAAAGGUUAAGUAAAAACGAUGCGGUCGAAGCAGAGAAAGAAAUGAUGAAAGGCCCGUGUCUGGGAAGGGCAAAAUAGACUUUUUACUGUAGAAAACGUAAAACAGUAUCUUAUC